rnacentral:misc_RNA from 1 species
GAUGAAGAACGCAGCGAAAUGCGAUAAGUAGUGUGAAUUGCAGAUUUCAGUGAAUCAUCGAAUCUUUGAACGCACAUUGCGCCCGCCAGCAUUCUGGCGGGCAUGCCUGUUCGAGCGUCAUUUCAACCCUCGAGCCCCCCCGGGGGCCUCGGUGUUGGGGGACGGCACACCAGCCGCCCCCGAAAUGCAGUGGCGACCCCGCCGCAGCCUCCCCUGCGUAGUAGCACACACCUCGCACCGGAGCGCGGAGGCGGUCACGCCGUAAAACGCCCAACUUUCUUAGAGUUGACCUCGGAUCAGGUAGGAAUACCCGCUGAACUUAAGCAUAUCAAUAAGCGGAGGA